rnacentral:rRNA from 1 species
GCCCAAAAAUUCUAGCCACUCAAACACACAAAACCAACAACUAACUUAAACCAAAACAUUUAUCUCGGUCAGUAAAUGAGAUUAAACACCACACUCCAGCCUUGUAAGUACCGCAAGGGAACAAUGAAAGAACAAUGAAAACUAAAGCACAAAACAGCAAAGACUAAUCCCUGUACCUCCUGCAUCAUGGUUUAGCAAAACACCUCAGACAAAGAGAACCUUCAGCCUGUCUCCCCGAAACCAAACGAGCUAUUUUUAGGCAGCCUAAAUUAGAGCACACCCGUCCCUGUAGCAAAAGGGUGGGAAGACCUAAAAAUAGAGGCGAUAAGCCAACCGAGCUUGGUGAUAGCUGGUUACUCAAUAAAAGAAUUUAAGUUCAACUUUAGGCACAUUUAUAUUUUCUACUUAAAAUUUUCCACUUCAUAAACCUAAAGCAAAUCAAUGGGGGUACAGCCCCAUUGAACCGGAAUACAACCCGAUUAGAGAGAUUUUUACCCCCCCCUUUUUUUGUAGGCUUCAAAGCAGCCACCUAGCAAUCGCGUUAUAGCAUCAACCUAAACAAUCUCAAUAAUACUAUUACCCUCCUAAUAUUCCCCGAGUAAUUCUAUGUCAACAUAGAAGCACUAAUGCUAAAAUUAGUAAUAAGAAAUAUUUAUUUCUCUUAGCAUCCCCUUAAGUCAGUAUAGAAAAACUACUGAUAAUUAACAAACCAAAACAUCCACCUCACUUAUCUAGCUAUAAUGUUGUAUUAAAAUUUGUUACUCCAACACAGGUAUGCAAAAAAGAAAGACAAAAAGCCGCAAAAGGAACUCGGCAAUAUCUAGUCUCAACUGUUUACCAAAAACAUAGCCUUUAGCCCAACAAGUAUUAAAGGUGCCGCCUGCCCAGUGACUCUUUUAACGGCCGCGGUAUCCUAACCGUGCAAAGGUAGCAUAAUCACUUGUCCCAUAAAUCGGGACCAGAAUGAAUGGCUAAAUGAAGACUAAACUGUCUCUUGCGGACAAGCCAAUGAAAUUGAUUUUCCAGUACAAAAGCUGAAAUAAACCCAUAAGACGAGAAGACCCUGUGGAGCUUUUAAACCAAAACCACUAAGCAUGUCCUUAGGUUUUUAGUUGGGGCGACUUCGGAGCAUAAAAAAACCUCCAAAACAUGAACUUAUCGAGACCAACAUAUCAAAAAUAUUAUCAUAAGAUCCAGCAACCACACCGUUGACUGAUUAAUGAACCAAGUUACCCCAGGGAUAACAGCGCCAUCCCCUUCUAGAGUCCAUAUCGACAAGGGGGCUUACGACCUCGAUGUUGGAUCAGGACACCCCAAUGGUGCAGCCGCCAUUAAAGGUUCGUUUGUUCAACGAUUAAAGUCCUACGUGAUCUGAGUUCAGACCGGAGAAAUCCAGGUCGGUUUCUAUCUAUGAGGCACUAUCCUCAGUACGAAAGGACCAAGAUAGUAGGACCAAUAUUAAAUAAACGUCCUAAUCAAAACUACUGAUUACUACUUAAGUAGUAAUUAUACCCCCCCCUUGCCCAAAAUUAGGGCUU